rnacentral:rRNA from 1 species
AUUGAACGCUGGCGGCAGGCCUAACACAUGCAAGUCGAGCGGAUGAAGUGUGCUUGCUCCUGGAUUCAGCGUCGGACUGGUGUGUAAUUCCUAGGAAUCUGCCUGGUUGUGGUUUAUAACGUCCUGUAACGGUCGCUAUUACCGCAUACGUCCUUAGGUUGAAAGUUUUUGUUCUUCUGACCUCACGCUAUCUUAUGUGCCUAGGUCGGAUUAGCUAGUUGGUGGGGUAAAGGCCUACCAAGGCGACGAUGCGUAACUGGUCUGAGAGGAUGAUCAGUAAAACUGGAAGUGAGAAACGGUACAGACAACUACGGGAGGCAGCAGUGGGGAAUAUUGGACAAUGGGCGAAAGAAUGAUAGAGCAAAGCCGAGUGUGUGAAGAAGGUCUUAGGAGUGUAAAGAAAUUUAAGUUGGGAGGAAGGGAAGUAAGUUAAUAACUUGCUGUAAUGACGUUAACAACAGAAUAAGCACCGGCUAACUACGUG